GCACAGGGAGACGCGGCUGUGUGAGAUAGCCGAGGACCCAUUCAUUGUACCGGGGCGGGCCUGACUAUUUUAGAGAGGCGAUUGUGAUCUAGCCAAGCCAAAUAUAGUCGUAGACAGGUAUUUUUAGCGUAAAGCGUCUCAUCGUAUCCACUUGGCAAAGGACGACCAAACGAUAUCUCUGAACAGGCUACUACGAUUUGUAGAUCUGUUACAAAGUCUGCUAACGAAAUUAAAUGUUAAGUAAACUGUUCAUUAUCGUUUUACAGUCAGCUGAUGUUGUUGUUUGGCUUGCUUUAGUAGAGGAUUAUUGUAAGAGUCAUGUCGCGCGAUAUGGAGACAGACGUCCACAGUGAGCACUCGACUACAGUCGAGUUAGAAGGUCUAUUUUCAACCAGCAACACGUUUGGAAGAAGGGAAUAUAACACUAGAACCGAAGCAGCAUCAGAAAGAUCAAAUCAGACAAACGGAAGAGAUUAGGGAUUACAUUUGAGGUGUGAUGACAGAGCUGUGAGUGUGAGAUGUAAUCCCUGUCUCCCUGGGUGGACACCAGUCAGACUAAGAGUGCGGCGGUAUCGCUCCUCCCGCUCCCCCAAGUGCUCCGGCAGGAAAAGGCAAGGGGAAACGGGGCACCUCUUCCCAACCGGCAUCCAGGAAAAGGGCUCGAGUCCGGGGGAGGAGCCCGGCCCCGGUGGCGUCCACCUCUAGUUCGGACCCGGUGCUGGCGGCCCUGUUGGACAUCAAAGUUUCUCUGGCUGACAUGGGAGCUCGUGUCGUCGCGUUGGAGGGCAGGUCGGCGACGGCGUUGGCUCCGCAGUUUCCUGGGUCCGGAAGCACUCCUGCGGCCUUGGACUUCGCAGCAAGGGGGCGCCGUUCCUGUCUCCCGCGGCCGGCAUUUCCGCCCAUCUGAGGAGCCAAAUUCUAGCAGGUACCGACGUCAAUCUGGUUAAGAUACUGCUAUGCUCUGCGGAUCCGGUGGACAGGCGGGUAGUCGAGUGCGGGGAAGUGUCUGUGCUCCUCAAGGGGGGUCCUCCUGUGGCUAAGGAGCAGUGGCGCUCCGCUCUACACAUAGUCGGCAUGGCGGAGUGGUGGCGUGUG